AAACGCUUGAAGUCAGUCGCGUUGGCUGGGGAUCAACCUUGCUUUUUGUGGGGUGUAUUUCCUAGUUGACGGGUCAGCAUCAGUUUUGACCACUGGAAAAAGGCUGGGGGAAUGUGGCAGCUCCGGCUGUGUUAUAGCCCCUGGUCGUAUACAGUGGUUGGGACUGAGGAACUCAGCACGCCGCAAGGCCGGGACAUUGUCCACGUUCGUGCUUAGGAUGCUGGCAUAAUGGCUUUAAGCGA
rnacentral:rRNA from 1 species